rnacentral:tRNA from 1 species
GCCUGGGUGGCUCAGUUGGUUAAGUGUCUGAUUUUGGCUCAGGUCAUGAUCUCACAGUUUGGUUCGUGAGUUCAAAUUUCACAUUGGGCU